rnacentral:rRNA from 1 species
AUUGAACGCUGGCGGCAUGCUUUACACAUGCAAGUCGAACGGUAACAGGCCGCAAGGUGCUGACGAGUGGCGAACGGGUGGGUAAUGCAUCGGAACGUGCCCAGUCGUGGGGGAUAACUACUCGAAAGAGUAGCUAAUACCGCAUACGAUCUAUGGAUGAAAGCGGGGGACCGUAAGGCCUCGCGCGAUUGGAGCGGCCGAUGUCAGAUUAGGUAGUUGGUGGGGUAAAGGCUUACCAAGCCAACGAUCUGUAGCUGGUCUGAGAGGACGACCAGCCACACUGGAACUGAGACACGGCCCAGACUCCUACGGGAGGCAGCAGUGGGGAAUUUUGGACAAUGGGCGCAAGCCUGAUCGAGCAAUGCCGCGUGCAGGAAGAAGGCCUUCGGGUUGUAAACUGCUGUUGUACGGAACGAAACGGCUCUGGUUAAUACCCGGGGCUAAUGACGGUACCGUAAGAAUAAGCACCGGCUAACUACGUG